rnacentral:rRNA from 1 species
GACGAACGCUGGCGGCGUGCUUAACACAUACAAGUCGAACGCUGAAGCUUGGUGCUUGCACUGGGUGGAUGAGUGGCGAACGGGUGAGUAAUACGUGAGUAACCUGCCCUUGACUCUGGGAUAAGCCUGGGAAACUGGGUCUAAUACUGGAUAUGACAUGCCACUGCAUGGUGGUGUGUGGAAAGGGUUUUACUGGUUUUGGAUGGGCUCACGGCCUAUCAGCUUGUUGGUGGGGUAAUGGCCUACCAAGGCGACGACGGGUAGCCGGCCUGAGAGGGUGACCGGCCACACUGGGACUGAGACACGGCACAGACUACUACGGGAGGCAGCAGUGGGGAAUAUUGCACAAUGGGCGGAAGCCUGAUGCAGCGACGCAGCGUGAGGGAUGACGGCCUUCGGGUUGUAAACCUAUUUCAGCACGGAAGAAGCGAGAGUGACGGUACGUGCAGAAGAAGCGCCGGCUAACUACGUG